AAACAGUGAUGGAGGAGUUUCCAAGGCCAGGGCUGAGGAGGCAGGAAGUGGUGUCUGGAGCCCUCUCCGCCCCACCUCCCCCCAAAUCCUGCUGGGGAGUCCAUCCAGAGUGUAGCAGUGACGUCUCAAUAACACUCCUAUCUACAGUGACUCUCAGAAGGAAACCUUCAUUGGCAGUACAUAUCCUGAACGGACUCAGGCUCUCUCUGCUUUUGCACAGUCUCUUCUCUGGCGGUGUCCACUGUGGAUGAAGGAGGUCACUCAUGGAUAAAGGAGGUCAUGGAAGUUGGUCGCUCUGGUUCGAAUGAGAAUGCCAAUCACAGUUACUAGAAUUUGAAUACUUGAUCACAACUGGGAAGGUAGAGAGUUGUGGCCUUGAUGGAGAGGAUGACAAAAAAAAUUAUUCAAAGGAAAUAGCUUAAGAUUUGCUCAUCAUUCAAAGGACAAAAGAUUUGAGAAUCUCAGAUUCCUCAGCUGAAUGGUGGUGAACCUGGACGGUAAGAUCAUAGUUCAAGCAAGCAGAAUUCUGUUGUGGUGCAGAGAAUAAAGGAGGCAUCGCUUGAAACUUGCCAGAUCUUCUAAAACUCACAGAUCCACAGUGCUGCCAUCAAGAACAUCUGGACUAGUGAGACACCGUCUGCUUAGAAAGGGAAGGAGAUAAGCCGAUGCUAUUCUACUGCUAACAGGACAGCCUACCAAGUGCAUGAUAUACUAUUGAAAUAGUGGACCCCCAAGAACUGGAAUUUCCCCCAGGGGGCUCUUGCAGAAUCCUGGUACCAGCCAGAGGAAGAACUUAUCACACCACAAGAGAUCUCACAUACUUCUGGUUAUUGUCAGAUUACAUUGUAGAAGAGAGUGGUGUUUGGACAAUGGCAGGCACUCUCCUGGUAUCAAAAAACAGCUAAAGGAAGAUACAUCUGCUGAUCUGAAAGUGAUUCUGACCAGGGAAGGAAAGAAGCCAACAUAUAUUAACAUCAUGAAUUCGCAGCAGGCUGCUUGACCCCUUCUGGUGUGUGGACUGGGCAGCUCCCUGGAGGAAGGACAUAAAUGUCACUGUGGGGACAAACUUGAG